UACGUAGGGUGCGAGUGUUGUCCGGAAUUAUUGGGCGUAAAGAGCUCGUAGGCGGUUUGUCGCGUCGGCCGUGAAAACUUGGGGCUUAACUCCAAGCUUGCGGUCGAUACGGGCAGACUUGAGUUCGGCAGGGGAGACUGGAAUUCCUGGUGUAGCGGUGAAAUGCGCAGAUAUCAGGAGGAACACCGGUGGCGAAGGCGGGUCUCUGGGCCGAUACUGACGCUGAGGCGCGAAAGCUAGGGGAGCGAACGGG
rnacentral:rRNA from 1 species